rnacentral:rRNA from 1 species
CCCUUUAAAGAAAGCGUAAUAGCUCACUGGACUAGUGAUCCUGCGCCGAAAAUGUAACGGGGCUAAAGAAUUGUACCGAAGCUAUGGACGCGUUUACGCGUGGUAGGAGAGCAUUGUGUUUACCGAUGAAGGCGUACCGAUAAGGAGCGCUGGAGGUCCCACAAGAGCUGAUGCUAGAAUGAGUAGCGAUAAGAAGUGUGAGAAUCACUUCCGCCGAAAAUCUAAGGGUUCCUGGGCCAGGUGACUCCGCCCAGGGUUAGUCGGAUACUAAGGCGAGGCCGAAAGGCGUAGUCGAUGUUUAACAGGUUAAUAUUCCUGUACUUAGUAAUGUUCGCUUGACACGAAGGAGUGACGGAGAAAGGUAGCAAAGCCAACUGUUGGAUGUUGGUUUAAGCGAGUAGGUGGGUGUCUUAGGUAAAUCCGGGACGCUAUUAACAUCGAGACGCGAAUACGAGGGCCUAGCCCGAAGUUUGUGAUCCUCUGCUUCCAAGAAAAGCUUCGCGUGGAGAAUAUUAUUAAUCCGUACCGUAAACCGACACAGGUAGAUGAGGAGAGAAUCCUCAGGCGCUUGGGAAAACUCCAGUUAAGGAACUCUGCAAAUUGGUGCCGUAACUUUGGGAUAAGGCACGCCUUUGUUGGUGACACCGCUUGCCGGUGAAGCUGAUGGAGGCCGCAGUGAAGAGGGGGUAGCGACUGUUUAUCAAAAACAUAGGUCUAUGCGAACACGUAAGUGGAUGUAUAUGGACUGACGCCUGCCCGGUGCUCGAAGGUUAAAAGGAGGGGUUAUCGUUUCGGCGAGAAGCUCUGAAUUGAAGUCCGAGUAAACGGCGGCCGUAACUAUAACGGUCCUAAGGUAGCGAAAUUCCUAGUCGGGUAAGUUCCGACCUGCACGAAUGGCGUAACGACUUCCCCACUGUCUCAACUGGAGGCCCAGCGAAAUUGGAGUGCGCGUGCAGAUACGCGCUACCCGCAGAAGGACGAAAAGACCCCGUGAACCUUUACUGUAGCUUGGCAUUGGGUUUCGAAUAACAUUGCGUAGGAUAGGUGGGAGUUUUUGAUCCGUGCGUUCCGGCGUACGGGGAGACAUCCUUGAAAUACCACCCUAUGUUAUUUGGAAUCCUAACCUACUGUCGUUAUCCGGCAGGGGGACAAUGUCUGGUGGGCAGUUUGACUGGGGCGGUCGCCUCCUAAACAGUAACGGAGGCGCACGAAGGUUCCCUCAGGCCGUAUGGAAACCGGCCGUAGAGUGUAAGCGCAUAAGGGAGCUUGACUGUGAGACUUACAAGUCGAGCAGGUACGAAAGUAGGUGUUAGUGAUCCGGUGGUUCCGCGUGGAAGGGCCAUCGCUCAACGGAUAA